rnacentral:rRNA from 1 species
UACGUAGGUGGCAAGCGUUGUCCGGAAUUAUUGGGCGUAAAGCGCGCGCAGGUGGUUCCUUAAGUCUGAUGUGAAAGCCCACGGCUCAACCGUGGAGGGUCAUUGGAAACUGGAAGACUUGAGUACAGAAGAGGAAAGCGGAAUUCCACGUGUAGCGGUGAAAUGCGUAGAGAUGUGGAGGAACACCAGUGGCGAAGGCGGCUUUCUGGUCUGUAACUGACGCUGAGGCGCGAAAGCGUGGGGAGCAAACAGG